UGGGGAGUCUUUAAAGAAGGGGAGGGGGGGGGGCUCCUUCGCACAGUAGAUCCAAGAGCAUUUUCCCUGCUGUUUCUCCUAGUCUAGUCUGCAGGAAGAGGAAGGAAGGCAGACCGGCACGCCAAGAGCAUCAGGCAGCAGCAGCAGCAGCAGCAGCAGCAUUGGGAGCCCCCUGUGAGUGGCGAUGAUGACGGAAGCGCAGGAGUGCACCGUGCCAACACACCGACGUGAAAACAGUGGUGGCGCAAGAGUGCAGGAAGAAAAGUUCCCACGCCAGAGAUGGAGCCUGAUCCCUCUCAGUGAAUGGGCAGAAAAACAGCUGAGCUACACACGGGACAUAACCUAUUGUCAACAGCAGGAGGAGAAGAAGAAGACAAAAAAAAAAAAACAUCACCAUCAUUAGGCUCAAGCUGAGGAUGUUUGCGGAUUUUUAUCGCGAGUACCUUUGUGUUCUGUGGCACUUUGUUUACAUGGCACCAGAGCGGAGUAGGCACCGUGCCAGCUGGACUUUGGUGAAUGGGUGACGUACGUCUGGCGACUAGAGUAAGACACGUGGUAGACUCAGACACGUGGUGCCGGGCACGGAGAACGGCAGGCACACAACACAGCGAGACGUGCAGCAAAGGGGCCACAAGACAGAGACAGACAGAGGGGCGUGACGAGAAGGAACAGAGGGUGGCAGGGGCACAUCAAACCUUGUCACCUGCACCCUAGGAGCACAUCAACGCCUCAUGAUCAUGGGAAUGCUGCUGAUCUUGAAUGACACCGACACCUGGAUCCCCCCGCCCACACAACCACCACUCCCCUUCCCACCUUCUUGACAGGAAGCUUGUAUCUAUGAGCACUGGGGGCAGGGGGGACUGAAGUAGGUGAAACACAGGCUUCAGCGUUUCCGCUGGCCCCCUUUUCCUGGUUAAUGACGAGCGGAGGGGUGGCACUCAAGGCUGCCGUUAUGCACCGCAUAUUAAUAACCCGCUGACUAGACAAGUAGACGACGUCUGCCCGCCCUCCCUCCCUCCCUCCCUUUCUUGUGUGGAGCGUGCCACUCACAUGGGGAGGGUAUUCAGGGAAGAGAGCUACUGCCACGCGCUAACGCAGGACUAACGGAUGUAACCGGCCUGAUGCCAAAAACACCCACAGUUAUUGUGUGUGUGUGUGUGUGUGUUUGCGGGGGGGGAUUUGGGGGCAGGAGGAAAGGAGGAACACCAGAGAGAGCAUCCGCCGUCAUUUCCCGGAGACAAAAGCUUGUCCCAGGACUGUUUUUUUUCUUGGGCUGGGUUCUGUUUUUUUUUUUUUUUGUCCUCUUCUUCUUCUCUUCUUCUUCUUGUUGAGGGGGAAGGCAGGGUAUGACCUGACUCUCACAGCAUAGUGCUCAAUAAACGUCACUCCGUCUGGAUAAAGCGAGACAUCAUGGGAUGCCCGGGGG
ensembl:lncRNA